AAGUGGAGCUGGGUGUGGCAACUCAUGCCUGUAAUCCCAGCACUUCGGGAGGCUAAGGCAGGAGGAUCACUUGAGGCCAGAAGUUCGGGACCAGCCUGAGCAAGAAGGAGUCUCUCCCCUAUGGUCACCACCACUCCAGGCCUGCAGCAAGUACUGCCUGGCUACCACUGAUGUUCAUUCAAGGCCUAAAGACUCUUCAGUCAGCUUCUGGUGAACACUGCCAGCCCUGAGUCUCUUUAGGGCAGUGGGCUCCCUCUGGCCCAGGGAAGGUCCAAAGAUGCUGUUCAGGAGCUAGUCUGGAACUGAGUAUGCCAGGAACCCACUUGGUGUUCUACCCCACCAUAGCCAUGCUGGUAUCCAAGGUACAAAACAAAGUCCCUUUACUCUUCUUUCUCUUUUCCUCAGCAGGAAUCUCUCUCCAUGGCCACCAUAGCUGGGAAUGUGCUGGGUCACAUCUGAAGCCAGCACAGCCCUGAGUCUUACCCAAGGCCCACGGCAAGUACUGCCUGGGUACCAGUGAUGUCAAAACUGAAGGUUUCUUUAGUCAAUAUUUUCCUUUAACUACCUAAUAUGCUUAUUCUUCCCGAUUCCAACACUCUCUUCUAGAACAGUAGUUAAAGCUCUCGAAGACAUGUCUUCAGACUAGCUAUUGAAAACCUCAAGAGAAAAGUGUUCCACACUCUUAGCUGAAUUAUUAAAAAUGAAAUCUAGCAGCUAGAUAGCCUCUGAGGACAGGUAUAGACAAAACACUGGUUCAGAUUGCUAUAGGUCAAAUCACUUCACAUGCUGUGGCUCUAUUCUGUCAUCAGUUCGCAUGGGUCAAGGGCUAUUUAACAUCACCACUGAACCUGUAAGGAAUAACAGAAAAGGGAGAACAGGCUCAGGACUGGAUACCAGCUCAGCCACAGUAGAAUACGGUAUCAUACAGAGAUGCCAAAUGAACAGAGCCAACUUCAUUCUUAACCCUUCUAUUCUACUUCAGCAAAAUCCAGUACAAUUCAACCAAAACAUGUACUAAGAAUCUAUUACAUUGAGUCCAUGAAAUUGGUGCUACCAAGGACACAAAAAUAACUGAGACACGAUCCCUGACUCCAAGGACUUCACUUCUAACUGAUAGGCACUACAGGCAUAAGCAAUUAGAGCAAAAAGAGGAUAUGGACAGUGAAAUAACAGAGUUACAACGUAUCAAUGGAACACCUAAGAAGUGGGGAGACUUCUUGAGUAACUAUAAGGAAACGUUCAAAAAGUUCAUUGAGUUGUACCUUAAUGGAUGGUGGACUUCCUCCAUUGAAUAGGAGGAAUGGGAAGGGGGCUUCUUGUUUACAAUGGGGUAGUGCCAGUCUGUUUGCUCCAAUUUUUUCACUGAGAACUACAAAAUGAAUAUGAACUAUAUUAUAAAACAUUGUAAAAGCAUCAAAGAAUUGACAAGAUAGUAAGGCCGAAACUGAAGUAAAAACAAUCAAAGAACUAAAGGUGUUUUUGCCCUGAGAGUAUUUUGCCUAUUCUGGAAAUUAUUGUGGAAAUGAACUUUUGUUUUGAUAGCCCUAUUCGGCUUAAGAUAAUUACAUAUAUCAUAGAAGAACUGCCUGAAGAAAGGACAAGAUAGUAGAACAGAAAACAAAAGGCUGAAACUGAGUCCCACACCUAGCUGUGCAGAAGAGAUACAUUCUGCAACAUUAGGAUGAAAGGCUGCAUCAGGUGUGGGGAGGAUAUAUUCCCACACUUACAGCAUAUGCUGGUCCCUACCUUUCUUUCCUCACAAUACAGCAACCCGGGGGGGGAUUUCUUUUCCAUAAACUACAAGCAAAACUUGCUGUGCAACCUUGCUUUCCAAUUCCACCAACUGGUAAUAGCAUUAACUUCCCAACAUGCAACUUGGACACUUACAAAGGAAGAACAAUUUUUAUAGGUGUCCAGAUCCAAAGGCAAUGUGAAAAUUACAUGUAAUCAAAACUACUUGUAGAAAAUCUUUAAAUUGUCCAUUAAGUAUAGUAUCUGAAGUUUCAUGUCUAUAACCUACAAUAUUGUCAUAUGAGAAAGAUAUAUAUUUGGUCUCUGCCCCUGGUUCCUGGCAAACAGCUCCUAAAAUGCUUGGAAUCUCUGAAGUGAAGAGGAUCUUUGGUAGGCUAACGAAAUGCCUAGUGGCUGGAGGCAUGUAGGCAGCUUCAGGAGGGGGGCUGGUGACCAGAAAGACCAAAGCAUGAUUGGAGGGUUGGGACUUUCAGCCCCAGCCCUCAAUCUCCAGGGAGAGGAGAAGGGUUGAUGGUUGAGCCGAUCACCAGUAGCCACUGAUUUAAUCAAAUAUGCCUAACUAAUAAAGCCGUCAUUAAAAUGGAUGGAGUUCAGUGACCUUCAGAGAAUUUAAAAAAGAUACCAAAUGAGAGCUCAUCAACUUUCUGCUACCAAACCUACAAGCAAACUGGCUACUGCAACCAUCUUUUCUUCCUUCCUCCCUGUAACAAUGAAGACCGGUCUCUCUUACCUAAAGCUAAUCCUUCUACCUAGGAUUAAGAACCCAUCCCCUUCUGCCUUUGUUAAUUAUUCAAUCUCUCCUAUAACUUCAAUCCCAAGCUUUUCCGUGGCUACUUCCCAUACAACGUAAACAUGUUCAAGUCUCUCUCAUCUUGUAAAAGAAAAGCAGGGAAAAAAAAUCCAACCUUUUAUCAUAGUCCACCUACCCGCAUUCUCCCUCAUCUAACAGCUAUACCGCCUUGUCCUAGAGAAAUACCAUGAAAUGCACUACGAGUAGGGGAGGGUAACCACAAGGAAGAGAGGCACCACAGGGAGCUGCGGAGGCAAUAUUACAACUAAGAUCAUUUUGAAACAAUGAGUGAGAAUCAGGUGAGGCAACGGAUGGGCAGGGUGCAAAUGCAAAGGCAUAUGGCCACAGAAGGGUACCGGGCCUCUAAAAGGAAAAGAAAAUAGUUCAGGGCUUCCAUUAAAUGGCAAAUUUAUUAGAGAUAGGAUCUUGCUCUGUCGCCCAGGCUGGAGUGCAGUGACCCAAUCAUAUCUCUCUACAGCCUUGAACUUCUGGGCUCAAGCAAUCCUCCUGCUUCAGCCUCCUGAGUAGCUAAGAUUACAAGUGUGAGCCACAGCAACUGGCUCACACUGUUAUCCCUCCCAAAAUUCCUUACUAAUAACAGCAAAGAAAUAAUAAUUUUUUUAAAAAAGCAUAAAUGUGUAAGAACAAAUAGGAGAGAAGAUAAAAAACAUGUCAACAUUUGAAGAGAUGUAAAAUCCAUCAAUAAAUGAUAACAAAUUCAGUGUAUCUGCAAAAACUGAAACCUAAAUCUAAAGUGAAAGAGAAAGAAGUGAGUUCAUUCACAGAGGCCGGAGAAACUGGGGAAUGAAAAGCAUUAAGUACCUUUGAGAAUGGCGUUGAAGGGCAAAAAGAAAAAAGAGAAAGACUGGUUAAGACUAUAAAGACUAUAAAGCCAGGCAUCCACAGCAGAAAGCUACAGGUCUACCUUGUGAGAGAAAGACCAAAGAUGUUCUGGAUUCAGGAACAUGAGGCAUGACACUGAUGACUAGGUCACAGCAGUACAUUAAAAACAAACAAAUAGCAACAACAAAAGCAUGGACAUACAGAGCAGUGGGAGCCCAAGUUCCCACCAAAUCUCCCAGGCAGGAGAUUUGAGAAUUCUUCUCUGGGAAAUGGAUUCAGAUGCUGACAUUAAAGGUUAUCCAACAAAAUGAUAGCCAUUGCUUGAUGAAAGCCCCAGUCAUGUACGUGAAUUUCCAAAUCCACAUGUAAUAUUUCAUUCUGAAAUAGGAACAGACAACCAAGGCCCACCAGAUAUAUGAAAAGCACCUCUAUAAUAAAAGAGAGGGGGUGGGGGAAGGAGGAAGAAGCAAAAGUGGAAAAAAAAAAAGGACCUUAAAAGAAGAAAAAGGAGAAAACUUUACUAAUCUUAAAAAGAUAUUAUAUUUCUAAAAUAUAACAGACUUCCCUAAAAUGAAAAUUCAAUAAAUAAGGCAAAACUUAACUGUGAUAAAUUUAUUAAAGGACCCUGUGGAAAUAGUAGACAAUACAUGUAAAAAGAUGGGAAAGAGAUGGAAGCUAUUGUUGAAAAAGAGCCAGUAGAAAUGUGAGAUAUGAAAAUUAGACAAGAAAUUAAGACUUCCUUUAAGAAGUUUAUCAGCAGGUGGACACAGUAGAGGAAAAAUAAAACCAGUGAACUUUACCAUAAUUAAAUAGAAAUUAUGCAAACUGAAACACAAAUGGGGGAAAAAAAAGACUAGAAAAAAAAAACAGAGCAUUCAGUAGCCAUGAGACAAUCAAAUACACAUAUAAUUAGAAACCCAAAAGGAGAAGACAGGAAACAAUGUAAGUACUUUUAAAGAAAAACAAAAAACAAAAAACAAAAAAAACCUUUCAAUCUAGAAUCCACUAGCUAAUAAAAGUGGAGAAUAGCUUUCAAAUAGAAAGGGCUGUGUGGGACAAGUCCUAACAUGUAUGAUAAAUUAUAUUAUUUGCUAAGAACGAUGGCAAGGAAAACUGAGCCAGCAACCCAAGCGGAAAACUGCUUAGAACAUUUUAAAGUAGCAAAACUGUAUAUGUAUAUCAUAUACCAGUUAAAACAAUUCUUUAAGCAUGGGAUAUGUGACCCUGCCCUGUGGCUCCCUCAUGGAGAAUACUUUCUAGUCUGUCUUUGAUCAGUGUUAUGCAGGUACUAGCUACCUGCUUGGUUUAUUUUUGUUCUAUGAGAAAACACAAAACACCUGGUUGUUAAUAAUCACCUGUUUAGAGAGAAUAAAUUUGUGGGUCAGAAUCUGCUCAAGCCUCUCAGCUCUGAAGGCUUCUUAGCCCUUGAGGCUCUCAGCUCGGAAGGCUGUUAGCCCUCUGAUAGUUCCACUUUGCACUCUUACCUCUGUCUGUUUCUUAAUUCCUUCAGUGCCACCUGGGUUGGGGUUUCUUCAACCAAGUGGUCUUGGUAGUGCUGGGCAUGGUGGCUCACACUUGUAAUCCCAGAACUUCGGGAGGCCAAGGUGAGCAGAUCACUUGAAGGCAGGAGUUUGAGACCAGCCUGGCCAACAUGGUGAAACCCUGUCUCUACUAAGAAUACAAAAAUUAGCCAGGCAUGGUGGCACACCCUGUAAUCCCACCUACUUGAGAGGCUGAGACAGGAGAAUCACUUGAAGAAGGGAAGCAGAGGUUGCAGUGAGCUGAGAUCGUGCUACUGCACUCCAACCUUGGCAACAAGGUGAGGCUCCAUCUCAAAAAAAAGAAAACAGGCAAAUAUAUCAUAGGCCAAGGGAAAAUAAUAACAGACAGAAACAUCAGAAAGGGCAAAAAUGAUACAAACACAUAAACACACAAAAUUUAUUUAAAAGAGCCGAGUAGAAAUACUUAAAAUCAUAAUUAUACUAUAGCAUUGAUAACAUAUACAGAGUUAAAAUAUAUCUGAAAACAAAAGAGAAAGAGGGAGAUAAUUGGAAGGAUACUGUUGUAACUUUCUUAAGCUGUGAACUAAUAAGAUGUAUUUUGAAAGUAAAGUGUGAUAACUUAAAGAUGGAUAUUUUAAUCACUAGAACAAUCACCAAAAAACACAAAAAAGGUAUAGCCAAAAAUUCAACAGAGGAAAUAAAAUGAAAUAGUAAAAAUACUUGAUGCACCCAAAAGAUGAUAGGAAGAACAGAGGGACAAAGAGCAGACAGGACAAAAUGAAAGGAAUGAAGGAAAGAAGUAAGGAGGAAGGAAGGAAGGAAGAAAAGAGAGAAAGAAAGAACAUAUUUAAAUCCAAGCAUUGUUAAUAACUGCAUUAAAUGUAAAUGAACUAAAUACUUCUCAAAAAAAGACAGAGACUGACAGAUUGGAAUGUUUCUUAAGUCUCAAUUAUGAGCUAUACACGAGAACAUAUACUUCAAAUAUAAUAUACAGACAGGUUAAAAGCACUUUAUCUUUAAAUAAAUAAAUAACUACAAAAUUUCCCACAGAGAAACUUCUGGCCAAGUCUGGUAGCUCCCUCCUGUAAUCUCAGCACAUUAGGAGGCCAAGACAGGUAGAUCACCUAAGGUCAGGAGUUCAACACCAGCCUAGCCAACAUGGUGAAAUCCUGUCUCUACUAAAAGUACAAAAAAUUAGUUGGGCAUGGAAGCACCUGUAAUCCCAGCUACUUGGGAGUCUAAGGCAGGAGAAUUGCUUGAAUCCAGGAGGUGGAGGUUGCAGUGAGCCAAAACUGUGCCACUGCACUCCAGCCAGGGAAACAAGAGGAAGACUUGGUCUCAAGAAAAAAAAAAAGAAACCUCCAAGCCCAGAUGACUUCCCUAGUAAAUUCUAUUAAUCAUUUAACUAAGAAAAAAAAAAAAAAAAUAGCAGUCUUAUACAAACUCUUUCAGAAAAGAAAGAAAAUGAAAUCACAACUCAUUUUAUGGGGCUAGCAUAACUAUGAUAAUAAAUUUAGGCAUAAACAUUACGAGAAGAGAAAAUUACAAAUAUACAGCAUGAACUUAAACAUAAAAAUCCUUAAAAAUAAUAGCAACUAGAAUCCCUCAAUAAAUAAGUUAAAUAAUGCUUCAUGACAAGUGAAGUUUGUUUAUUCUUGGAAUGAGAAGUAG